rnacentral:rRNA from 1 species
ACGGGUGAGUAACACGUGAGUAACCUGCCCUUGACUCUGGGAUAAGCGUUGGAAACGACGUCUAAUACCGGAUACGACCUUCGGAGGCAUCUCCUGGGGGUGGAAAGAAUUUCGGUCAAGGAUGGACUCGCGGCCUAUCAGCUAGUUGGUGAGGUAAUGGCUCACCAAGGCGACGACGGGUAGCCGGCCUGAGAGGGUGACCGGCCACACUGGGACUGAGACACGGCCCAGACUCCUACGGGAGGCAGCAGUGGGGAAUAUUGCACAAUGGGCGCAAGCCUGAUGCAGCAACGCCGCGUGAGGGACGACGGCCUUCGGGUUGUAAACCUCUUUUAGUAGGGAAGAAGCGAAAGUGACGGUACCUGCAGAAAAAGCACCGGCUAACUACGUGCCAGCAGCCGCGGUAAUACGUAGGGUGCAAGCGUUAUCCGGAAUUAUUGGGCGUAAAGAGCUCGUAGGCGGUUUGUCGCGUCUGCUGUGAAAACCCGAGGCUCAACCUCGGGCCUGCAGUGGGUACGGGCAGACUAGAGUGCGGUAGGGGAGAUUGGAAUUCCUGGUGUAGCGGUGGAAUGCGCAG